rnacentral:rRNA from 1 species
UACGAAGGGGGCUAGCGUUGUUCGGAAUCACUGGGCGUAAAGCGCACGUAGGCGGAUCUUUAAGUCAGAGGUGAAAUCCCAAGGCUCAACCUUGGAACUGCCUUUGAUACUGGGGAUCUUGAGUCCGGGAGAGGUGAGUGGAACUGCGAGUGUAGAGGUGAAAUUCGUAGAUAAUUCGCAAGAACACCAGUGGCGAAGGCGGCUCACUGGCCCGGUACUGACGCUGAGGUGCGAAAGCGUGGGGAGCAAACAGG